rnacentral:rRNA from 1 species
GUGGGGAAUAUUGGACAAUGGGCGCAAGCCUGAUCCAGCCAUGCCGCGUGAGUGAUGAAGGCCUUAGGGUUGUAAAGCUCUUUCAGUGGGGACGAUAAUGACGGUACCUACAGAAGAAGCCCCGGCUAACUUCGUGCCAGCAGCCGCGGUAAUACGAAGGGGGCUAGCGUUGUUCGGAAUUACUAGGCGGAAAGCGCACGUAGGCGGACCAGAAAGUCAGGGGUGAAAUCCCGGGGCUCAACCCCGGAACUGCCUUUGAAACUCCUGGUCUUGAGGUCGAGAGAGGUGAGUGGAAUUCCGAGUGUAGAGGUGAAAUUCGUAGAUAUUCGGAGGAACACCAGUGGCGAAGGCGGCUCACUGGCUCGAUACUGACGCUGAGGUGCGAAAGCGUGGGGAGCAAACAGGAUUAGAUACCCUUGUAGUCC